GGCUUCGUAACUCAGCUGGUAGAGCGUUUGUCGCGUAGAGACACGGUGAUCCUGUCGCUGGUUCGAAUCCAGCCGAAGCCA